rnacentral:lncRNA from 1 species
CGCACAAAAACGGGGUCCUUAACAACCACGUUUGCCACUGUGAAAGUGUGCACGAUCUCCCAUUGUAAACCACUAGGAAAGUCGAGCUUUGAAACACAAUUGCCAGCAAGGAUAUGAAACUUCCAUGGAGGAUUGCUUUCUUUCUUAAUGGACUGAACCAGCAACUUCGAGUCGCUCUCGAUCAGGAGUGGGAAGCAAUUGAGA